rnacentral:rRNA from 1 species
GACGAACGCUGGCGGCGUGCUUAACACAUGCAAGUCGAACGGUAAGGCUCCAGCUUGCUGGGGUACACGAGUGGCGAACGGGUGAGUAACACGUGGGUGACCUGCCCUGCACUUCGGGAUAAGCCUGGGAAACUGGGUCUAAUACCGGAUAGGACCAUGGUGUGGAUACUGUGGUGGAAAGUUUUUUCGGUGUGGGAUGGGCCCGCGGCCUAUCAGCUUGUUGGUGGGGUAAUGGCCUACCAAGGCGGCGACGGGUAGCCGGCCUGAGAGGGUGGACGGCCACAUUGGGACUGAGACACGGCCCAGACUCCUACGGGAGGCAGCAGUGGGGAAUAUUGCACUAUGGGCGGAAGCCUGAUGCAGCGACGCCGCGUGGGGGAUGACGGCCUUCGGGUUGUAAACUCCUUUCACCAUCGACGAAGGGUUUCUGACGGUAGAUGGGGAAGAAGCACCGGCUAACUACGUG